rfam:Schistosoma haematobium scaffold258_7, whole genome shotgun sequence.
AUCCAGCUGACGAGUCUCAAAUAGGACGAAAUGCAUGUCAAACUGAAU